rnacentral:rRNA from 1 species
GUGAGGAAUAUUGGUCAAUGGGCGGGAGCCUGAACCAGCCAAGUCGCGUGAAGGAAGAAGGAUCUAUGGUUCGUAAACUUCUUUUGCAGGGGAAUAAAGUGCAGGACGUGUCCUGUUUUGUAUGUACCCUGAGAAUAAGGAUCGGCUAACUCCGUGCCAGCAGCCGCGGUAAUACGGAGGAUCCGAGCGUUAUCCGGAUGUAUUGGGUUUAAAGGGUGCGUAGGUGGUUUGAUAAGUCAGCGGUGAAAGUUUGCAGCUUAACUGUAAAAAUGCCGUUGAAACUGUCGGACUUGAGUGUAAAUGAGGUAGGCGGAAUGCGUGGUGUAGCGGUGAAAUGCAUAGAUAUCACGCAGAACUCCGAUUGCGAAGGCAGCUUACUAAGCUACAACUGACACUGAAGCACGAAAGCGUGGGGAUCAAACAGGAUUAGAAACCCGAGUAGUCC